AUUACUCACAAUCCUAGUUCUGCCUCCCUUCCUCCAAUGUUAACAUACUAUCUCUGGCAUCGCUACCGCUCAUUCCGAAUGUCUGAUUUCUAACUCAGACACCAAACAUUCAAAAAACAAGCUGGAAGAUCUAACAAAGCCUGUGGAAGACAGUGGUGGCAUGGUGGCCAUGAGUGCUGCAAACAUGGGGAGGAAGUAGAGAAGAGAGGGGAAAGGAAAGGUGGCAGGUGAGUGAAAAGUUCACAUGCACAUUUUGAUGAAGACCCUGAAGGCCUUUAUAUAAACCAGAUAGAAGAUAAGCGAUCCGAACUACAGAUAUCCAGUGCUGACACAUGACAAAAGCUAAGCAGAAACAAGGUGAAAAGACUAGCAAAUUGUUCAAGCACAGGAAGAGUCCUUGCUCUGCUGCCCUACUAUUGUUGCAACUCCUUUUUGCAAGGAAGGUUUACAUCAGCAGGUCUUUAAAGUGAGAACACCAGAUCACAUCAGAAAUUAAUUAUGUAAAUGUAUGUGUUUAUGUAAAUGUAUGUGUUUACAGCAACAGAUCUGAAAUGUUUCUUUCCACUUAGGCUUCUAUGAAUAGACAUUUUAGUUCAUCAACUGGCCUUGCAGCAUGGGCUGCUAUUAAAUAGCAAUCAGAACAAUAGUUAAGUCCAAAGCAAUGAGUUAACUAUAGUUCAAUCUGAAUUUUAACUGUAUUUGCACCUAAACAAAUCAGAUUCGUCUAUGUUUUUGUGCACUAUUUCAGAUUUAGCUAUCAAACUACUAAACAGACCUGCAAGGUUAAUUUCAGUGCAGUACUGAAAAUACAGCAUAAACAUUUGUUUAGUUUUCCUUUUAUGUGCUGUAACAACAAUUUUCUCACUGAACUGUACAGCUCUUGCCUUUAACAUUUUAUCCUAUGCACGUUAACUGAGAACUUAUUUAAAGAAUUUUAAAAAGCACGCUGGCAAACACUUUGAUUUGAUUUACAAAUCUUGUAAAUUUCCAAGGUGUCUUUAAAACCAGAGGUAUACAUCCGAGUACACUGUAUGAGCUGAAUAAACUUACUAGACCAGAUUGAUUAUCUUAGAUCUACAACACCCUUAAACACAUUUUUUGUAUUCUUUUUCAAAAUGUUUUGCCAUUUUAAUAACUUUCAGGAGCUUCUUUACAUUGACCUUUAUUGUUUUGAAGCAGGCAAUAAAAUAGGCAAGCAAUAAAUUAAGCUUCACUAAUAUUUGAAAAUCACCUUUGAAUAGCCAUUUACAAGGCUCACUGAGCUUGUUACAAGCAUUUGUUUUUAAGUGUGGGGGGGGUCUGAUAUACUUGAAUUCCAGUUAAUCCAAUGAGACUUGUAUCUUGCUUACUUCAAUGUAAUAUUAAAAAACCCUAC